CCGAUAUUUUUAGGCAACGUGACACUACAGCUAAGUGUUUCAAAACCCAUCCAGUUUGCGAUUCGUAUUAAGAUACAGUCAUUUGAAAAUAUAAGGCGAACAACCGGUAAAAUUUACGUUGGAAUAUGUUUUCAACAAGUCAUCAUUGUUUGAGACAAGUUAAAAUCUUUAAAAAGCAGAGAGAGUUUAUUGCGAUAAUAUGAAGUCUUACCAGGUCACUGAAUGAGUGAGUGGGUUUUUGGGUGAGUGAGUAAGUGGAUGAGUGAGUGUCGGGUGGGUUGGUUGAGUGAGUGAGUGAGUGAGUGGGUAAAUGAGUGAGUGAGUGGGUGAGGACGAGUAUGGUACUUGCAUGAUCCUAACCAGGUAUUCGAACAAACAAUCAGGGGAUUCUGAAACGCGCAAGGGACACAAACAAGUAUCCGUGCAUUCAAUCCGACCGAACCAAGUAAUCACGUGACACUGUGGGCAAUUACUGCAUUUAUUUGCUCAGGAAAAUGGGAAGUGACGUCACUAUUCGCUGGAGUGGAGGUCGUCAA